rnacentral:rRNA from 1 species
UACGUAGGGUGCGAGCGUUGUCCGGAAUUAUUGGGCGUAAAGAGCUCGUAGGCGGUCUGUCGCGUCUGCUGUGAAAUCCCGAGGCUCAACCUCGGGCCUGCAGUGGGUACGGGCAGACUAGAGUGCGGUAGGGGAGAAUGGAAUUCCUGGUGUAGCGGUGGAAUGCGCAGAUAUCAGGAGGAACACCGAUGGCGAAGGCAGUUCUCUGGGCCGUAACUGACGCUGAGGAGCGAAAGCGUGGGGAGCGAGCAGG